rnacentral:tRNA from 1 species
GCGGGAGUGCCGGAGCGGUCAAACGGGCCAGGCUAAGGACCUGGUGCCUUAGUGGCUGCGCAGGUUCGAAUCCUGUCUCCCGCA